rnacentral:rRNA from 1 species
CAGUCGCCGCGGUAAUACAGAGGGUGCGAGCGUUAAUCGGAUUUACUGGGCGUAAAGCGUGCGUAGGCGGCUUUUUAAGUCGGAUGUGAAAUCCCUGAGCUUAACUUAGGAAUUGCAUUCGAUACUGGGAAGCUAGAGUAUGGGAGAGGAUGGUAGAAUUCCAGGUGUAGCGGUGAAAUGCGUAGAGAUCUGGAGGAAUACCGAUGGCGAAGGCAGCCAUCUGGCCUAAUACUGACGCUGAGGUACGAAAGCAUGGGGAGCAAACAGGAUUAGAUACCCGCGUAGUCCCUGUCUCUUAUAA